rnacentral:pre_miRNA from 14 species
UUUCAGUAUUAGGAAAACUAGUAUUUGAAAGAACCCCGGACAGGGAGACCCUCCCUCAAGUCUCGGGAUGAUGUGAACCCCAAAAACUCGCAAGAGACC